rnacentral:rRNA from 1 species
ACUGCUCCGGAUGUUAGCGGCGGACGGGUGAGUAACACGUGGGUAACCUGCCUGUAAGACUGGGAUAACUCCGGGAAACCGGAGCUAAUACCGGAUAGUUCCUUGAACCGCAUGGUUCAAGGAUGAAAGACGGUUUCGGCUGUCACUUACAGAUGGACCCGCGGCGCAUUAGCUAGUUGGUGAGGUAACGGCUCACCAAGGCGACGAUGCGUAGCCGACCUGAGAGGGUGAUCGGCCACACUGGGACUGAGACACGGCCCAGACUCCUACGGGAGGCAGCAGUAGGGAAUCUUCCGCAAUGGACGAAAGUCUGACGGAGCAACGCCGCGUGAGUGAUGAAGGUUUUCGGAUCGUAAAGCUCUGUUGUUAGGGAAGAACAAGUGCAAGAGUAACUGCUUGCACCUUGACGGUACCUAACCAGAAAGCCACGGCUAACUACGUGCCAGCAGCCGCGGUAAUACGUAGGUGGCAAGCGUUGUCCGGAAUUAUUGGGCGUAAAGGGCUCGCAGGCGGUUUCUUAAGUCUGAUGUGAAAGCCCCCGGCUCAACCGGGGAGGGUCAUUGGAAACUGGGAAACUUGAGUGCAGAAGAGGAGAGUGGAAUUCCACGUGUAGCGGUGAAAUGCGUAGAGAUGUGGAGGAACACCAGUGGCGAAGGCGACUCUCUGGUCUGUAACUGACGCUGAGGAGCGAAAGCGUGGGGAGCGAACAGGAUUAGAUACCCUGGUAGUCCACGCCGUAAACGAUGAGUGCUAAGUGUUAGGGGGUUUCCGCCCCUUAGUGCUGCAGCUAACGCAUUAAGCACUCCGCCUGGGGAGUACGGUCGCAAGACUGAAACUCAAAGGAAUUGACGGGGGCCCGCACAAGCGGUGGAGCAUGUGGUUUAAUUCGAAGCAACGCGAAGAACCUUACCAGGUCUUGACAUCCUCUGACAACCCUAGAGAUAGGGCUUUCCCUUCGGGGACAGAGUGACAGGUGGUGCAUGGUUGUCGUCAGCUCGUGUCGUGAGAUGUUGGGUUAAGUCCCGCAACGAGCGCAACCCUUGAUCUUAGUUGCCAGCAUUCAGUUGGGCACUCUAAGGUGACUGCCGGUGACAAACCGGAGGAAGGUGGGGAUGACGUCAAAUCAUCAUGCCCCUUAUGACCUGGGCUACACACGUGCUACAAUGGACAGAACAAAGGGCUGCGAGACCGCAAGGUUUAGCCAAUCCCACAAAUCUGUUCUCAGUUCGGAUCGCAGUCUGCAACUCGACUGCGUGAAGCUGGAAUCGCUAGUAAUCGCGGAUCAGCAUGC